rnacentral:lncRNA from 1 species
CUGCCUGCAUCCCAAACUUUGUGGCCUACAUUCCAGUAAUGAGAAGGCCCAGAUCCAUUUGAAAACAUUUAUAUUAGUUAACAGCCAACAGCUCAGUGCACCAGGAGCCCAAGACUGGAGGUCCUUGUUUCACUCUGAAAGGAUGGCUCUGCAUGGCCUUCCCAUUGUCACUGCCAGAUUCUCUUCAGCCAUAGGAAGGUAUCCUUCACCUCUGGCUUUGUGGGCUGUGGAACAGAUCUCAGGUGUGAUCUCUCAGACGUGUUUCAGCCAUUUUUCCACCCACAAUGCUGUAAUGCCAUCUGCCAUAAGGAUUUCAGGAAAACAAAACAGAUCCUGCCACCAUGCCCUUGCAUAUCUAGAACUAUGAGCUAAAUAAACAUCUGUUCUUUACAAAAUUUCCCAGUUAUAAAUAUUUUGUUAUAAUAAAAAAAGAUUAUAUAGUGGGUUUAUCACUUUUAUCAAAUUUUGAA